CCUGCCACCGCGUCCCCUCUCAGGUGUCUCCACACCGCGGGUGGGGGACGCAGUCCCGGGCUCCCCUGAGCCGGAGCCGCUGUCCCUCCGCUUCCCUCCCGAGGGCUCCCGGACGACGUCCUGCAGACGUGAGCGCUCCUGGCGGGACGCUCGCUUCCUCGCUCCGGACUUGCUUACGAGGCCGCGGCGGAGGGGAGACCGGAGCCAGACCCGCCGAGUGCCCGCAGCCUCCAUGCGACAAGCAGACUGAGCACCGGCCGCGUGGGGCCACGUGACGGCCGCGUGGGGCUAAGGACAGCGCCCUGCGGCCUCACGGGUGCCCAGCGCCCGCCACCCCAUUCACCGCGCCGCUGCCCUGCCUUCGGUUCUGACUCAGUGCAGGCAGGUCCCCGGGGCGUGCGGGCGGGCGCCGGGAGAGGUGUACACGCCCCCGCCAGCCCCCCCCGCCCCGUCUUCCAGACAGUCUGACGCUGGGGUUUUCACAUCGGUGCUCUGGCCAAGGCGACCUGCACUGGAGUCUGUGGACGGGAUCUGGGGAGAGCUUCCCGCCUGCGGAGAUGGACCACACUCUCUCUGUUGUGCAUGGAGCUAUGGCAGCCGUUUCGUGAUCAUGAGGAUCAUAGACGUGGAGCCCGACCUCCAAGAGCAGCUGUCUGAUGCAGGUAUGCCCGGCGGCUCAGUGUCACCAUGACCUGGGUUUGCCCUGCAACUGGUAAAGUGAAGCAGGGCACGUUACAAGCCACGAGGGGUGAGAGGCCAGAAGCAUGGAGAACGUGGAUGACCCACGACUAGAGGCAGGCAGGGCUGCUGCCGGCCCCACGGGAGCCACGGCCCCCAGCUAUGCUCAAGCCCUAGACACACAGUCCCCAUCCUGAGGUGAGCCCUGGCUGGGACGAGAACACAGGGGCAGGGCCAGCCCCAUGCAGAUACUGCCCCUGUCCCCAGAUACUCGGAGCUGGCUUUGCCGUGUGGCCCAGUUAUCAGCAGUGAGGUGUGCGGGGAGGCGUGCGAGACGCUUACUAGGAAUCCCGCAGAGCGGCGUGGACACUGGCCCAUCUGUGGAUGCUGGCUUGUGUCUCCCCCAGACUUCCCCGCUGGGUGCUAUGGCCCGUUCCUCCUUGUGUACGGGUCUUCUGGAGCACAGGGGUUGGGGGCACAUUUGUACCUGCAAACAGAGCAGAAGUGGCAGAUUCUGGAGAGGAAUGGCUGGAGGCCAUGACGGAAGCAGAAAACGUGGACAUCGUCGGCAGAAUUAGUGUCACUGGAACCACCACAUCCAUCAGCAAUUUCUGAAUCAAACUGGACUGUGGGGACACGAAUGACAUGAUUGGCCCCAAACUGACCGAAACACCCAGAGUGUGGCCACAAGCCCUGCUGGGUUCCAGGCCGUGUCACCAGGCCUGUUUCCCUUCAUCUCGGUUCCACGGGCUGCCUGAUGUGUGUUCUCAUUUCACAUCCAAGAACCGUCCCCACGAAGUCAGAGUCACACUGAGGAGACCUCUGCAGCUAACCUGGAAUCAGCCAUUUUUAAGGGCACCGUUGGGCAGCAUUGAGUACCUUUAUCCCCGCUAUCCAUGUCUGGAACUUUUUCAUCUUCCCAAACUGAAAUUCGGUCCCCACUAAAGGGCGGCGUACGGACUGGGCAGAGCAGCCUUCAGGAUAAGCUUGCUCAGGUGGCGCUGCACGAGUUGGAGGAGUGGGUGCAUCCAGGAUGCCGCUGCAGGCCCAGGUGACCGCUGGACCUGGGAGUCCGGUUUCAAUCAGAAGCUGCCCUGCCUUCCAAGGACGGGCAGUCUGGUGGGGACACCGGCGUGCAGCCCCCAGACCUGACUGCAGAGAAAUCGUGGCCGAGCUCAUGGGAGAGCCCACCGGUGCAUCACAUCCUUAUUUACGUCAACCCGAGCGUCUCUGGGAGAAGGGACCUGCACACAGUGGCCAGUCCACACCGCCGGAACCCCGGAGCCACAGCCUGACACAGGACAGCGCGGGCGCAUCUGGGCCGGGUCACAGGCUGCGACCCUGUGACCUGCGGAGGCAGCAAACCCAGAGGACAGAGGGGUGGCUGUGCCGGGACAGCAUGGAACUCGCACUGUGGUGGCAGAACGUGGAAAGUGGAGCAUCUGACUCCAUUCUCUCCAUAAACCUGACUUUGAAAUAAACAGCCCCUGCGGGAGGCCUUCCUGAGAGCAAUGGCUGAGGAGGGGUUGGGCCCUGGGCUGCUCGGGGGGACGGUGGGGGGGGUGGCAGACAAGCAUGGCCCUGGGAGCUGGGGCGGGACCCAGCCCAGUGUUGCGUCUCGCCCUGGUCACCCUGUCCUCGCUCCGUGCCUGAACUGCCUCAACAAACCUCCUCCUCCCCCUCCCUCUUCGGGGAGCGCCCAGAGCCCCUGCCCCAGCCUCCUCCUGGGCAGCCUUGGGCUCGGGAUGGGGAGGAUCCGAGACAGGCAGACAGUCCCGCCUGGAGGGGCCAGCCUCUAGGACACACUGCUGUAUCUCCAAAAGAGAUGUGUGCACCGUCGAGGCCUGCGGGGCCCACGGUGGCAGCUGGGAGGGGGCGUAGGGACCCCAGGCCGGGUCGGACAUUUGGGGCACAUCUAGGGUCCACACCGAGGAAGAUAGUAAAGUUGUGCUGUUUCUCGCC